rnacentral:rRNA from 1 species
AUUGAACGCUGGCGGCAGGCCUAACACAUGCAAGUCGAGCGGAGCGUCGGAUGGGUGAGUAAUGCCUAGGAACCUGCCUGGUUGUGGGGGAUAACGUCCGGAAACGGGCGCUCACACCGCACACCUUCAGACGAGUCUAGGUGGGAUUAGCUAGUUGGUGGGGUAAAGGCCUACCAAGGCGACGAUCCGCACCUGGUCUGAGAGGAUGAUCAGUCACACUGGAACUGAGACACGGUCCAGACUCCUACGGGAGGCAGCAGUGGGGAAUAUUGGACAAUGGGCGAAAGCCUGAUCCAGCCAUGCCGCGUGUGUGAAGAAGGUCUUCGGAUUGUAAAGCACUUUAAGUUGGGAGGCGUUACCAACAGAAUAAGCACCGGCUAACUUCGUGCCAGCCGCCGCGGUAAUUC